rnacentral:rRNA from 1 species
UACGUAGGUGGCAAGCGUUGUCCGGAUUUACUGGGCGUAAAGGGAGCGUAGGUGGAUAUUUAAGUGGGAUGUGAAAUACUCGGGCUUAACCUGAGUGCUGCAUUCCAAACUGGAUAUCUAGAGUGCAGGAGAGGAAAGUAGAAUUCCUAGUGUAGCGGUGAAAUGCGUAGAGAUUAGGAAGAAUACCAGUGGCGAAGGCGACUUUCUGGACUGUAACUGACACUGAGGCUCGAAAAGCGUGGGGAGCAAACAGG